GGUUGUGGGUUAUUAGUGACGAGA
rnacentral:piRNA from 1 species